rnacentral:rRNA from 1 species
CCUACGGGUGGCAGCAGUGAGGAAUAUUGGUCAAUGGACGAGAGUCUGAACCAGCCAAGUAGCGUGAAGGUUGACUGCCCUAUGGGUUGUAAACUUCUUUUAUAUGGGAAUAAAAUGUUCCACGUGUGGGAUUUUGUAUGUACCAUAUGAAUAAGGAUCGGCUAACUCCGUGCCAGCAGCCGCGGUAAUACGGAGGAUCCGAGCGUUAUCCGGAUUUAUUGGGUUUAAAGGGAGCGUAGGUGGAUUGUUAAGUCAGUUGUGAAAGUUUGCGACUCAACCGUAAAAUUGCAGUUGAAACUGGCAGUCUUGAGUACAGUAGAGGUGGGCGGAAUUCGUGGUGUAGCGGUGAAAUGCUUAGAUAUCACGAAGAACUCCGAUUGCGAAGGCAGUUCACUGGACUGCAACUGACACUGAGGCUCGAAAGUGUGGGUAUCAAACAGGAUUAGAUACCCUUGUAGUC